CCUACGGGCGGCAGCAGUGAGGAAUAUUGGUCAAUGGGCGCGAGCCUGAACCAGCCAAGUAGCGUGAAGGAUGACUGCCCUACGGGUUGUACACUUCUUUUAUAAAGGAAUAAAAUCAGGCACGUGUGCCUUAUUGUGUGUACUUUAUGAAUAAGGAUCGGCUAACUCCGUGCCAGCAGCCGCGGUAAUACGGAGGAUCCGAGCGUUAUCCGGAUUUAUUGGGUUUAAAGGGAGCGUAGAUGGGUUGUUAAGUCAGUUGUGAAAGUUUGCGGCUCAACCGUAAAAUUGCAAUUGAUACUGGCAGUCUUGAGUACAGUUGAGGUAGGCGGAAUGCGUAGUGUAGCGGUGAAAUGCUUAGAUAUCACGAAGAACUCCGAUUGCGAAGGCAGCUUACUAACCUGCCACUGACAUUGAUGCUCGAAAGUGUGGGUAUCAAACAGGAUUAGAUACCCUAGUAGUC
rnacentral:rRNA from 1 species